rnacentral:rRNA from 1 species
UACGUAGGGGGCAAGCGUUGUCCGGAUUUAUUGGGCGUAAAGAGCGUGUAGGCGGCCAAGCAGGUCAGCUGUGAAAACUCGAGGCUCAACCUCGAGACGUCGGUUGAAACCGCUUGGCUAGAGUCCGGAAGAGGAGAGUGGAAUUCCCGGUGUAGCGGUGAAAUGCGCAGAUAUCGGGAAGAACACCCGUGGCGAAGGCGGCUCUCUGGGACGGUAAUGACGCUGAGACGCGAAAGCGUGGGGAGCGAACAGG